rnacentral:misc_RNA from 1 species
GAUGAAGAACGUAGCGAAAUGCGAUAAGUAGUGUGAAUUGCAGAAUUCAGUGAAUCAUCGAAUCUUUGAACGCACAUUGCGCCCCUUGGUAUUCCAUGGGGCAUGCCUGUUCGAGCGUCAUUUGUACCUUCAAGCUUUGCUUGGUGUUGGGUGUUUGUCUCGCCUUUGCGUGUAGACUCGCCUUAAAAUAAUUGGCAGCCGGCGUAUUGAUUUCGGAGCGCAGUACAUCUCGCGCUUUGCACUCAUAACGACAGCGUCCAAAAGUACAUUUUACACUCUUGAUCUCGGAUCAGGUAGGGAUACCCGCUGAACUUAAGCAUAUCAAUAAGCGGAGGA